AGAACAAAGGCUCCGCCCAUUUCCAUGGCUCAAGGUGGUUAGUGGUUCAAGCGCCCCGACAAAAAAAAAGAAGAAAAGAGCACAAAAGAUUUUCUUCGAAAAAUCGCCACACCACCACGAAUUGAAAUCGAUCGAUUUGCGAACACUCAACUGAAAACAAUCAAAAAAUGCUGGAAAUAUCACCAUGGGAGACGUUGGUUAAGCUCUUGACAGAUUCAUUACUCAAUUGUACAGGAACUCAUGAAGAUGUACCACAUGCAAAAACAUUUCUUAGAUCGCUCACAACCACAUAUAUUGCCUCGCUGGCCGUGGCAACUGCAGUAACCGUGGGUACAGUAUGCCUUGCAGUUCUACAUCUCAUCUACAUUCACUUCUACAUCACACAUUCCAGUAGACGACUGCACAUUGUGCUUCUGGCAUGCACUGCGCCGCUAGUUUCCCUACUUGCACUUGUGGCAAUGUACAUGCCACGUGUAUGGUUUUUGUCUCAUCUUCUCUCGUUUCUCUAUUUUUCGUUUGCUCUCUGGGUCAUCAUAUGUCUACUUUUACACAUAUUCGAUGGACAUCAUGCCCUUGUCACGAAAAUGAUGCAGCGAUUACAGUAUGUUGAGAUAGCAACACCUCCAUUCUGUUGCCUAUUUCCAUGUCUUCCAAAAGUCCGACUGGAAGGAAAAAAGAUAAGAUGGUGUGAGCUGAUGGUAAUGCAAGCGCCGAUCGUUCGCUUAUUUGCCACACUUGUCUCGCUUGUAAUCUACUUUGAAUAUCAAGAUCAGGGCCUUGUCCCACUAAAAGUGCUCGACUUUAUCACACUUCCAUCUCUUUUGGCAGGAAUCUACGGAACUCACAUAUUAGUCACAACGGUUUCUCGGAUGGAUGAAUUAAUCUCGUACAGAUAUGUUGUUGUAUUCCGUCUUCUUGAUUUCUUCUUCAUGGUGUUCGGAUUGCAACAACCAGUUUUUGAUUUUCUCGCGAGAUAUGGAGCAUUUGGAUGUGGUACUGUACUUCCAGCAAUUGAGACUUCUUUCUGUGAGUUUGAAUUAAAUAUUACUCAGAUGCGAAGUUUUUGCGAUUUUUGCGCCAGGUCUCGGCGCGAAAAUUUUUUGUUAAAUGCGAGAAGGUGUUCUCCUUUAAAGAGUACUGUAAUUCCAAACUUUCGUUGCUGCGGGAUUUUCAUCGAUUUUUCUUAGUUUUUCUCUGGAAAAGUAAUAGAAAGUACACAGCAAAAAAAGUUUGAAAUUACAGUACCACUCUUUAAAGGCCCACAUCCUUUCGCAUUUAACAAAAAUUUGUCGUGUCGAGACCAGGUACCGUACUUUCGGAGUAAAAAUCACAAAACUUCGCGAUUGAAUAAAAAAAAAAUCGAAUUAUCAUUAAAUCCAAUUUAAUUGCAGACUGGAAGAACUUCUUCACAGUAAUUGAAGCAUUCUGUGUCACAUUAAUCAGCACUGUACUUCUACAACCAUCAAAAUCAUCAUUCUUUGACAAACAUCCAAGCUGCCGAUCGAUGAGCUCUGCGCGGAGCACAAUAACUGAUGUGGACACUGACGAGUCGACCACUUGAGAAUAUUAUCAUUUUCUUCAUAUACAAUAGCUUUUCCCCCUACUUUCUCAAUCCGUGAUCCUCUUCCACUUUCUAUUGCAUUUUCUAGUCAACUGAUGUCAACUAACUUUUCAUCCCUUUGUCUCACCCGUUCGUCCUGUGUGCAAAAUGUCUUUGCUGGAAUUUGCAACAACCGAAAAUUUAAAAAUCCCAAAACGUGUAGAACCUCAACCCCCAGAAAUGGAAAUAAACAUUUUCGAACUCAAUA